rnacentral:lncRNA from 1 species
AUAAAAAGAUAAACAACUCCCCUAAAAAGGACAAAGAAUGUGAUUAUGUAUUCUCAAAAAAAGUAAACCAAGUAGAGAAUAAAUUUUUUUAAAAAAUGUUUAACCACACUAGUAAUCACAGGGGGAAUAUUAAAAACAAAUGGAAUAUUACUUCACAUCUAUUAUUUCAGAACAAAUUAAAAGUCUGGAAACAUAAAAUGUUGACAAGGAAGUAAAUUAAUAAAUCUCACAUUUUAGGUAUGCUUGCCAGGUACUGCUAUGAAUGCUGUUCAUGUAUCAUUUUAUUAAAUUCUUUCAAAAUAUUAUGAUCUUGUACUAUUAUUUUACACAUGAUAGAAGUAAGGUAAAGGAAGCAAUAAUAACCUCCAGGUCAAACAGCUGAUUAAGUCUUAGAGGCUUAAUAAAGUCUAGGCCAUCUCACUCCAGCAUCCAUCUGCUCAACCAUUAUGCUGUUCUGGCUGUUUUACAGAAAUCACACCCAAAAAGCUCCAUUCACAUUUAAUUGGCCAUUCUUAACUAAAGAACAGACUAAGAAAUGUGGUCUCUGAAUGGGCACACUUCCACAAGGAUUAAAAGUUAGAGUGUUAUACCGAAAGAUGGAGGAUGGUUAUUAGAUAGCUAAUGUGUAUAUCCUAUGUCUCUUCCACUUGUAGGUAUAGAACCUUGGGGAAACUUCCACAGCAUAGAAGACAGGAAAACAUGCACAUCAUAUUGUUUGCACUAAGAAGUAAAUUGGGACUAGUCAGCAUGCAUCAAUAGGAUAGUUAACUUUUCUUGGGAAGAAAUGAAGUGGAAAUAUGGUUGCUGCCUAAGAAGUAAUAAUAGGAGAUACAGGAAGCAGUUUGAAAUGGAAUAGAAACAACUUGUGAUAGAGGACAGAAGCCAUAUCAGAAGUCACGGAAUUAAUUAUGUGAGUCUGGGAUCAGUGAGAGAUGAAAAUUGAGAAGAAAGAAAACUGUAAGACUCUGUGACUUGAAAAAUCCAGGAGAGACAGGCAACUGAAUUGCUACAUUGUAUUUUCUCUUAAACCCAAGAAAAUUCCCUGUGUUAGAACAACUUGAAUGAAAAGAAGAAUAAACAGGUGUCCAACAAUAACAUUUCCAAGAUAGGAAGAAAGCGAGGGUUCAAAACGGAGUUAUAUAUAAUGUGUCUCACCAAUCACUGAAGGGGACAAGUCAUCCAUGUAAGAAAUUAACUCAACCCAGGGGAGAGGACAUAUUCCUGUAAUCUCAGCUACUCAGGAACCUGAAGCAGGAGGAUAAUUUCAGGGAAGGAAUUGAGACCAGCAUGGGCAACAUAGCAAGAUGUAAAAAAACAAAACAAAACACAAUUUUUUAAUGUUAACUAGGUGUGGUGGCAUGUUCCUGUAGUCCCAGCUACUCAGGAGCAUGAGGCAGGAAGCUUGCUUGAGCCCCAAAGUUCAAGGGUGCAGUGAGCUAUGGUUGCACUUCUGCAUUCCAGCCUAGGUGACAGAGAAAGAUCCCCUCUCAAAAAACUUAAUUUAUUGUCAAAUAUACUUUUGCAUAACUGUGUGCAAAUUAUGUAGCUGUAAAAAUAAGGCUAUGAUGUAAUUAUGCCCUGAAACUGUUUGUUUGUUGCUGUUUUUGGUUUUGUUUUAUUUUUGCUUGGUAUUGGUGAUGUAUGGAGUAAUGUGUUCACUGGUCUUUGAGGUAUAAUCAUACCUUUGCCAGAUGGAGAACAGUUGAGCAGUAUAUUCCAGGAAUAGGGAAUAUUAUGUCUAAAACAUUACAUAGUCAAGGAAUUACAGCAAAGUUUUGUUUAUAAAGAGGAGAGGAAAAAAAAAGAAUGAUACAAGGAAUAUAAAUGGGGCGGGCUCUGUAUGUACGCAUUUUUAGAAUAUAAAAUGUUUUUCUAUAGAAAAUAAAGAAACCAUGAUAUGAAUAUAAUAUGUGGGGAGCAUAAACAUGUCUGCAGUUUAUUAAUAUUUAUUUUUAAUAAACAUUUCUUUGAAUGCAUAUUAAGUGUGUGUACUAUAAUGACUUACAUCGAUUUACAAAGAUGCCAGCCUCCAUUUGACAGUAGAUCCCAAGGGGCCCAAUCUAAGCUCUAUCCCCUCUUGUAGUUAGGGAACUACGUUAAUUUUUCAGGGACCUGCUGGGGCUCCUUCCCACAGCAGAGCAUUUCCACACAGCCACAGUACCAUUCUUGGGUUUUCUCCAAGUCCAUCUCAGCCAAAAAUCCGUGUCAAUCAUCAAGUAAGUCUUCAUGAUACAGUACAUCUUGGCUUAGAGCAUCCUUUAGUGCAGAGAUGGCUACAGUGGUUAGAGGAUCAGGAAAUAAAACAGUUAGUAUACUUAGAAUUCCUGGUAAACCUUCUGAAGAACAGGUACAAAAAAAAAAAAACCCAGACUGAAAGGUAAGAUUAAGAUAACAGAUAGGAGGCAAGACUAGCUUGCAGCUCCCACUCAGACAGAGCAGGAUGUGGAGAGUAACAUUGUGAA